CCAUAGCCCUUUAGCGUAAAGUUCCUCUUUCCCUCUCCAUCACUUUCUCCCUCCCUGCACACACCCACACACAUGACUCACAUAUAUUAUAUAUAAUAAGUACUAUACUACGAAUCGACGGCGUGGUGAUGGUGCGCGCGCCCAGCCCAAUCAUGCGCUGAUGCGUGAGUUUCUCCUCUGAUUGGCGCCAGGGAUCCAUCGGGUCGAUGGGGAUCGAAGCUUCUUUGCCAAGAAAAGGGCAGGGUCCCUGCGUAUGUUGGGGCACCUCGCACCUGCCACCGCCCAAUCAAACGGCAGCUGCGCCGCCGGUAGGCCGCCGGCCCCAACCCCGUUGUGCGGUUGUGCCAUUGGAGGACAGGCACACAUGACACUGUUGGGGGCUCGGCUCUUUGGGAGCUGCUCGUCCCAUGCAGCAGCCGUUCACGCGUGCCGGCGAUGGCGACCGCGGCGCGUCCGGAUAUGCCUCGCCGCGCUU
rnacentral:lncRNA from 1 species